rnacentral:tRNA from 1 species
GCCUGGCUGGCUCAGUCAGAGGAGCAGGUGACCUUUGAUCUCUGGGUUGUGGGUUCGAGCCCCACGGUGGGUG